rnacentral:rRNA from 1 species
CUCGUAGGUGGCUCUGUAAGUAGGUGGUGAAAGCCCACGGCUCAACCGUGGAUACGCCUCCUAAACUGUGGAGCUUGAGGCUGGGAGAGGGAAUCGGAAUUCCUGGUGUAGCGGUGAAAUGCGUAGAUAUCAGGAGGAACACCGGUGGCGAAGGCGGAUUCCUGGACCAGUUCUGACACUGAGGAGCGAAAGCCAGGGGAGCAAACAGGAUUAGAUACCCUGGUAGUCCUGGCUGUAAACGAUGGGCACUAGGUGUGGGGGGAUCGACCCCUUCCGUGCCGCAGUUAACGCAUUAAGUGCCCCGCCUGGGGAGUACGACCGCAAGGUUGAA